AUUGAACGCUGGCGGCAGGCCUAACACAUGCAAGUCGAACGGUAACAGGAAGAAGCUUGCUUCUUUGCUGACGAGUGGCGGACGGGUGAGUAAUGUCUGGGAAACUGCCUGAUGGAGGGGGAUAACUACUGGAAACGGUAGCUAAUACCGCAUAAUGUCGCAAGACCAAAGAGGGGGACCUUCGGGCCUCUUGCCAUCGGAUGUGCCCAGAUGGGAUUAGCUAGUAGGUGGGGUAACGGCUCACCUAGGCGACGAUCCCUAGCUGGUCUGAGAGGAUGACCAGCCACACUGGAACUGAGACACGGUCCAGACUCCUACGGAAGGCAGCAGUGGGGAAUAUUGCACAAUGGGCGCAAGCCUGAUGCAGCUAUGCCGCGUGUAUGAAGAAGGCCUUCGGGUUGUAAAGUACUUUCAGCGGGGAGGAAGGGAGUAAAGUUAAUACCUUUGCUCAUUGACGUUACCCGCAGAAGAAGCACCGGCUAACUCCGUG
rnacentral:rRNA from 1 species